CUUCUGGUGGCUUUUUGGCCUAGGAGAAGCCUGGUUUUUCUGUUCCCUGUGUUAGGGUCUGAGUGGAAGUAUGCCACAAAGGAACACACAGACAAUGCAAAGGCAGCAGGGAGAGGUUUAUUACUAGCACGUGCACACUAGGAUGGUUACCCAAAAGAACAGUCCUGGGGCAAAUCCGAGAGUACAUAUUUAUAGAGAGCAGCUUAAAUGGGGUGGGGGGGGGGAGGGAUAAGCAAGAGAUCUGUCUCAACAGCUGUGGCCUUGCAGUUUCUUUUCAGGAACUGUGGCCUUACAGUUCUUCCAGGAUCUCUAUCAACAAUGACCUUGCAGUUUUUUUAAGGAACUUGUUCAUUUGGACACAGUGCAAACCCGCCCCCCUUCCCUUCAUUCCCCAGUUCUUUUUAUUUCAUGAUGUUCAUUCAGGGGCUAGCUGAAAACUCCAGGGGCAGGGCAUUAGUGUAGCCAUCAAGGGUGUCUGUCUGGGCCUGAUACUGCUGCCUGAGGAUCAUGAGCUGGACUGUGUGGACCUGGUCCUUCACAAAGCAAACCAGUCGGUGGACUAUACAAGGCCGAAAAGUGAUAAGGAAGAAGAGAAUUAACAUUGGUCCGGCUAUAGUGGAGAUGAGAGGACACCUGGGACAUGGAAAAUUUUCCUCAACUUCUCCAAGAAGGACUUCCAUGCCCUUUUUAGAUGAUUCAUCCACAUGUAAUCUAAGAAUUAUGAUUAAUUGAUUGACUGAGAUCCAUUGUCACCUUGUUAAGGUAUAUAAUUUUAAAUGGACAGUAACAGUUUUAAUUCCAUCCUCUCAAAAAGUACACUUGGAAAAGAAAUUUUAAAAACCAUCAAGAAAAAUCCUGGACACUUCUAGGUAAGUAUGGUGGCAGUCUAGACAUGGGACACUUCCUCUCCUCAGACCCACCAAUAUAGACUACUUCAAAAGACCCCAAAAAACAUUUUCAUAAGAAGGAAAGGACUCUACAGUAGGGUGCAGAAUUGAAGGUACAUGAGAUUUGGGCAUUUAAAAAAUAUAAGGGGGUGAAAAAUUUCCCACCCAAAUGUGAGCUGACCAACCCUCCCCCACCCCACCUAUGGAGCCAGAAUCAGAGUGAGUGGGCACCAGAAUAGAAUCAUUGAGUGAGUGAAGGACAUAUCUGGAGUAAGAAAGGGGCAUCUCUAGGUCCUUGAGAGCUGACUAAAAAGACUGAGGACCUACCCCUGAGAACAGCUACCUAAAACCCCAGCAGGCUAGGGAGUGCAGCCUGUGGGUGCUCUUGGCAAGGAGGCACAGAGAAGGGCAAUGAACAGCAGAAGCUGCACCUGAAACCCCAGUGGACUCAGGAGUGUAGACCAUGGGUGUUCUCUGCAAGGAGGCACAGAGAAGGGCAGUGAAUAACAGAAGCUGCUGAGAUUAAAGAGUUUGCCUCAGGCAAAAUCCUUGCACCUUGACUCCAUAUACAGAGAGCCUGCCCAUCUCACUCAGAUCUCUGACUUAAAAGGAAAGGAAAAACCCACACAGUGAUUGUGUGGUUUGCAAUUGUGCCUAGGAACUACAACCUCCAUACACCACCAAAAAAAAAAAAGGCAUUGACCCUCAACAAUUUUUACAGAGGAG
rnacentral:lncRNA from 1 species